rnacentral:rRNA from 1 species
AACGCGAAGAACCUUACCCAGACUUGACAUCCACGGAAUCCUGCAGAGAUGCGGGAGUGCCCGCAAGGGAGCCGUGAGACAGGUGCUGCAUGGCUGUCGUCAGCUCGUGUCGUGAGAUGUUGGGUUAAGUCCCGCAACGAGCGCAACCCUCGCCUUCAGUUGCCAGCAUUCAGUUGGGCACUCUGGAGGGACUGCCGGUGUCAAGCCGGAGGAAGGUGGGGAUGACGUCAAGUCCUCAUGGCCUUUAUGUCUGGGGCUACACACGUGCUACAAUGGCCGGUACAAAGGGCUGCAAAGGCGCGAGCCGGAGCCAAUCCCAGAAAACCGGUCCCAGUUCGGAUCGAAGUCUGCAACUCGACUUCGUGAAGUCGGAAUCGCUAGUAAUCGCGGAUCAGAACGCCGCGGUGAAUACGUUCCCGGGCCUUGUACACACCGGUACUA